rnacentral:rRNA from 1 species
GACGAACCUUGCAAACGUUAUUCGGAAUCACUGGGCUUAAAGGGUGCGUAGGCUGUGCAGAAAGUUGGGUGUGAAAUACCUCGGCUUAACCGAGGAAUUGCGCCCAAAACUACUGUGCUCGAGGAAGAUAGAGGUGAGCGGAACUUAGGGUGGAGCGGUGAAAUGUGUUGAUAUCGGAAGGAACGCCAGAGGCGAAAGCGCCACACUGGGUCUCAACUGACGCUGAGGCACGAAAGCCAGGGGAGCAAACGGG